AGAGUUUGAUCAUGGCUCAGAACGAACGCUGGCGGCGUGGAUUAGGCAUGCAAGUCGAGCGGGAUCUAUCGAAGCUUGCUUUGAUAGUGAGAGCGGCGAACGGGUGAGGAAUACUUGGGUAAUCUGCCCCUAAGUUCGGAAUAGCUUCGGGAAACUGGAGGUAAUGCCGGAUGUGAUCGAGUGCCAUAAGGUGCUCUGUUUAAAGGGGGGGUCUUCGGACCUCUCGCUUAGGGAUGGGCCCGAGUCCUAUCAGCUUGUUGGUGAGGUAACGGCUCACCAAGGCGAAGACGGGUAGCUGGUCUGAGAGGAUGGUCAGCCACACUGGGACUGAGACACUGCCCAGACUCCUACGGGAGGCUGCAGUCGAGAAUCAUUCACAAUGCACGAAAGUGUGAUGAUGCGACGCCGCGUGAAGGAUGAAGGCCUUCGGGUCGUAAACUUCUGUCAGAAGGAAAGAACGGUCAUUGCGUUAAUACCGCUUUGAUUUGACGGUACCUUCAGAGGAAGCCACGGCUAACUCUGUGCCAGCAGCCGCGGUAAUACAGAGGUGGCAAGCGUUGUUCGGAUUUACUGGGCGUAAAGGGUGCGUANGCGGUCUGGUGUGUCAGAUGUGAAAGCCCAUGGCUCAACCAUGGAAUUGCAUUUGAAACUGCCAGACUUGAGU
rnacentral:rRNA from 1 species